GACGAACGCUGGCGGCGUGCCUAAUACAUGCGAGUUGAGCGCUGAAGGUUGGUACUUGUACCGACUGGAUGAGCAGCGAACGGGUGAGUAACGCGUGGGGAAUCUGCCUUUGAGCGGGGGACAACAUUUGGAAACGAAUGCUAAUACCGCAUAAAAACUUUAAACACAAGUUUUAAGUUUGAAAGAUGCAAUUGCAUCACUCAAAGAUGAUCCCGCGUUGUAUUAGCUAGUUGGUGAGGUAAAGGCUCACCAAGGCGAUGAUACAUAGCCGACCUGAGAGGGUGAUCGGCCACAGUGGGACUGAGACACGGCCCAAACUCCUACGGGAGGCAGCAGUAGGGAAUCUUCGGCAAUGGACGAAAGUCUGACCGAGCAACGCCGCGUGAGUGAAGAAGGUUUUCGGAUCGUAAAACUCUGUUGGUAGAGAAGAACGUUGGUGAGAGUGGAAAGCUCAUCAAGUGACGGUAACUACCCAGAAAGGGACGGCUAACUACGUG
rnacentral:rRNA from 1 species